rnacentral:ncRNA from 1 species
AUGUUGUUGUCGUAGUAAUUGAACGAGAGGAAUCGUCCAUUCGGAUAAUAGGUAUUUGGGCCUGCAUGAGCAGGCAAUAGCCCGAAGCUAUCAACCGUCGGGUUAUGGCUGAACGUCCAAGUCAGAACCCCGUGCUAGAACGUGACGAUCACCGCCUUCUCUCCGAUUUUUAAUUGAAAGCGAAUGGAUCUUGGGAUCCUGCAUCACAACACAAGGGGUUGAUCUUGCAGAGUGGAAAGUCUUUGCGUGGUUCCUGCUAUGUUAAUUUCAAAUUUUGAAAGAUAUAAAUCCAUUGCAAACGACUUUAAUUGAAUGGGGUAUGGUAAGAAGUAGAGGUGCCUCGCUGCUACGAUUGCUGAGAUUAGGCUAUUGCUCUAUAGGCGU